UUGGCUGGCCGUUCAACAGCUUGCAGCUUGAAACAGUGGAGGCAGGAGGCGGGGAUUCCAUCUCUGGCUUAUGCUUGCAGCUGUUCGACGCCAGGGUCUCUUCCUGUGGAUUCCUGGAGACCUUGUAACUCGAAGAAGCGAUGGAGACAGGAGGCAAGUCCAUGACACAGAGACCAUCGAGCCACCACCCUUUAGGCUUUCUGUAAUGGCCCAUCCUGAUUUGUGCCUCGGUUUGAGGUCCGAUCGGGUGCGGCCGCCACUGCCCAGAACAUUCCAUUCAACCCUUCCUUGGAACCCUUUCUCUUCAUACUCCUUCCUAGAAGCGUUCCGGUUGCUUCUUGUGAUCAUUACGAGUUUUGGCGGAGAAGAGAUGAUGGCAGUGACAACUCUUUUCACAGACUUACUCUUCGAUGUCGACUCUGUUCUUGGGUGCCUGAGACGGAGAUCAGAGGAACUGUUUGAGUGGGUCCAUAGCAUCUGACUAUGAACAGCUACUUAUGCCUUCUAUGUGGUCUGAGUGGUUCGGUUCGUCAGAGGAGCUCUGCGAGAAACAUUAACUCGAAUUACGCGCACGACGUGUUUGAUGGUAUGUGUAAGAGUAACAUUUCUUGUGAUCAUCAGAGAGAUGAUGGCAGUGGCAACUCUUUUGACGACCUACUCUUCGAUGUCGACCUGGUUCUUGGGUGCAUGAGACGGAGAUCAGAGGAACUGUUUGAGUGGGUCCAUAGCAUCUGACUAUGAACAGCUACUUAUGCCUUCUGUGUGGUCGAAUUGUUCAGUUCGUCAGUGGAGAUCUGUGAGUAACAUAAGCAAGAAUUGCGCACAUGACAUGUUUGAUGGUAUGUGUAGGAGUAACAUUUCUUGUGAUCAUCGGAGAGAUGAUGGCAGUGACAACUCUGUUCACGGCCUACUCUUCGAUGUUGACUCAGUUCUUGGGUGCCUGAGACGGAGAUCAGAGGAACUGUUUGAGUGGGUCCAUAGCAUCUGACUGUGAACAGCUACUUAUGCCUUCUAUGUGGUCGAAUGGUCAGCUCGUCAGUGGAGAUCUGUGAGUAACAUUAGCAAGAAUUACGCACAUGACGUGUUUGAUGGUAUUUGUAAGAGUAACAUUUCUUGUGAUCAUCAGAGAGAUGAUGGCAGUGGCAACUCUGUUCACAGCCUACUCUUCGAUGUUGACUCAGUUCUUGGGUGCCUGAGACGGAGAUCAGAGGAACUGUUUGAGUGGGUCCAUAGCAUCUGACUGUGAACAGCUACUUAUGCCUUCUAUGUGGUCGAAUGGUCAGCUCGUCAGUGGAGAUCUGUGAGUAACAUUAGCAAGAAUUACGCACAUGACGUGUUUGAUGGUAUUUGUAAGAGUAACAUUUCUUGUGAUCAUCAGAGAGAUGAUGGCAGUGGCAACUCUGUUCACAGCCUACUCUUCGAUGUUGACUCAGUUCUUGGGUGCCUGAGACGGAGAUCAGAGGAACUGUUUGAGUGGGUCCAUAGCAUCUGACUGUGAACAGCUACUUAUGCCUUCUAUGUGGUCGAAUGGUCAGCUCGUCAGUGGAGAUCUAGAGAUGAUGGCAGUGGCAAUGCUGUUCACGGCGUACUGUUCGAUGUUGACUCAGUUCUUGGGUGCCUGAGAGGGAGAUCAGAGGAUCUGUUUGAGUGGGUCCAUAGCAUCUGAUUAUGAACAGGUACUUGCCUUCUAUGUGGUUGAAUGGUUUGGUUCAUUGGUGAAUUACGCACAUGACGUGUUUGAUGGUAUGUGUUAGGGGUGACAUGUUACGUGAUCUUUGACGAUGAACGCAAGAUAAGAGUUUUACUUAUCAUUUGAUCAGAAUGGAAUAAUGGGAGUGGAGUAAGAUGCCUUGGUUUUAGUCACAGAGUAUGUGCCUGAUUACAUGGAAAUAUGAAGAAGCUAUUGAUUUUAAGAAGUAUACUUCUAGAACUGAAGCUGGAGACGAUAAUGCAAGCUCUCUUUUCUGAUAAAGAAGUCACUGGGAUGGAUAUCUGUCUAAUAGGUAGAACUGGAGAACAAGCAAGUUGAUUUGGGAUCCUUUAUCUACGAGUCUUGAGGCCUAUCUUUCAAUACAUCUUUAUGGAGCAAUUCUUUCAUAGCUGAAGAGCUAUCUAUGUUGAUUACCAUUCCAAUGAGAAUACUCAGGAUACAAUUAUCUACUGUUGCAGGACCUCCAUAGUUUGAAUGGCAGCAUGUCCGUAUGAUUUGGCCUUGGCACUGGAGGUACAAAGUCUUGAUUUGUUGCAUCCAUCAUUUGCAUCGAUCGAACGUUCAUCUGUUGUUUUGCUGUUGCUCGAUGCUUGCAUUCUGGCAGCAGCUUGGGAUGGAUAGCCAAGAUCAUCAAAAUAAGGCAGCCCAACCUUGUGCUCGACAUCGAAUUCUGGUGUCCUCAAGCUGUCUGAGCCUGUCUCGCCCACCGAACCCAUGGUCUCUCCUGAGGAUGUCUCCUGCUGUUGCUGCAUCUUCUCCCAGGCUUCCCUUGUUGGAGCUGCGGCUUGCAUCAGCCAACCUGUACUCAUGCAUGAUCCAAUCGGUCUUCACGCCUCUUGGUGCCUUGCCGGUGUAGAAGACCAAAGCUUUUUUGAUACCCAAAGUCCUUUCGCUGCCCUUUGCUGAGAUCGGCUUAUCGGCACCAGUUGCCUUCCAGUAUCCCUUCCCGGCGGCCCUGUUCGGUCUCGAGCCGUUGAGUACCUGGUAGCUCCCAGGGGUUGUGCUUGUAGAGAUCGAUGUCGACGAUGAUGGGUGCGGGUAGGCACAGGCAGGCCAUCUUCCGGCAGAGGUAGUGCACGACGAGCUCUUCGUCCGUGGGGUGGAAGCGGAACCCCGGUGGCAGGUUGAGCUCCGCUUCCGCGUCUCUUUUCCUCCCCAUCCUCGUUUCCUUCGCUGGCUCACAAGUCAAGAAAGCUCUCCACUCUCUCUCAGAUGGCAGCCAAAAGUUGCACCGGCAACGAUUGGUAAAACACGGACGUGUGUGGACCUAUGGGACAUGGGAGGAGUUGUGUGGGUUCUUGAGUGGACCCCAUCGGCCGCAUGUGGGACCCAGGAAACUUCGUGUGCGGUUCGGAGGCGGCUGACGACCAUUGAUCUCCUUGGAAGAGUAAUAUUUUGAUUAUAAUGAUUUUUUUCUUAUUGUAAUUAAUUUAAAGUUGGGAUAAAGAGGGACGGGUCUCUGUUUAAACCUAACCCCCACCCUCCCCAACCAAAAAAAAAAAGGAAUUAGAUCAAAUUAUUCGAACAGUAGAAAUGGAACGAAGAAGUGAUGAUUGGAUUAACUACGGCGGCUUAGAAAAGUCGUAGCCACCGACACAGAUCUUUUUGUGUUGAUAUAUAUAUAUAUAUAUAUAUAUAUAUAUAUUCUUUCCUUUUAUUAGGUACUAAUUUUUAAUCUAUUUGGUAUAUUCAUUAAUCUUGCCUUGUGAUCACCAAAGUGGAUGGAUCAUGUGGUGAUUAAUGUAGCGGUGGCGAUGUGUCACGUCAAGGUUGGCUCAAUUAGUUUUCAAGCUCUCCAAUUUAUGUGGAAAAUUAGAGUUGUCUAGCUUUCUGCCAUUCAACAUAAUUGACCAAUUACGGAGAUGGAAUGAGCCAACAACUAAUACCGAUGUGACACUUGAACCACCGAAUGUUUCGCACGAUUCCUCGUGUUUAAGAAACACAUUUUUAUCCUACUACUCUUAGUAAUUCAACUCUUCAGUAAGUCAUUCCACAUCUAUGUUUUUUCUUCUUCUUAGAUUCCAUGUCGGCAUUAUAUUGAGAUUAGACGCUACAUGUGUUAAUUAUUAGGAUGUCUGGUUUUUUGUUGAGACAUGGGUUGAUUAGUGCAUUGUUGUAUAAUAUAAGUGUAA